rnacentral:snRNA from 1 species
AUGCUAGUUUUGGCAGCACAUAUACUAAAAUUGGAAUGAUACUCAGAAGAUUUGCAUGGCCCAUGCACAAAGACUUGCAAAUUUGUAAAGCACUCCAUUUUUUU